CACGUAUUUAGCCGGGGCUUCUUGGUCAGGUACCGUCAAUGUCUUCCCUGCUGACAGAGCUUUACAUACCGAAGUACUCCAUCGCUCACGCGGCGUCGCUGCAUCAGGGUUGCCCCCCAUUGUGCAAUAUCCCCCACUGCUGCCUCCCGUAGGAGUCUGGGCCGUGUCUCAGUCCCAAUGUGGCCGCCCACCCUCUCAGGCCGGCUACUGAUCGUCGCCUUGGUGGGCCGUUACCCCGCCAACAAGCUAAUCAGACGCGGACCCAUCCCGCACCGCCUGGGCUUUCCGCACAGCCCCAUGCGGGGCCGUGCGCAUAUGCGGUAUUAGCAGCCGUUUCCGGCUGUUGUCCUCCAGUGCGGGGUAGGUUGUCCACGCGUUACUCACCCGUCCGCCACUCAGUCACAGGGGCUCUUCCGAAGAACUUCCGCCCCAGCGCUUCGUUCGACUUGCAUGUGUUAGGCACGCCGCCAGCGUUCAUCUGAGCCAGGAUCAAACU
rnacentral:rRNA from 1 species